rnacentral:snRNA from 1 species
AGCUUUGCACAGUGGCAGUAUCGUAGCCAAUGAGGUUUAUCUGAGGCAGGAUUAUUGCUAAUUGAAAAAUUAGCAGGGUGUAGUGGUGCACGUCUAUAAUCCUAGCUACUCAGGAGGCUGAGGCAGGAGAAUUGCUCUAACCUCGGAGGUGG